rnacentral:rRNA from 1 species
CAGUGCGAUAAGGGGACUCCGAGUGCGAGGGCAUAUAGUCCUCGCUUUUCUGUACCGUAAGGUGGUACAGGAACAAGUGCUGGGCAAGACCGGUGCCAGCCGCCGCGGUAAUACCGGCAGCACGAGUGAUGGCCGCUCUUAUUGGGCCUAAAGCGUCCGUAGCCGGCCAGACAAGUCCGUUGGGAAAUCGACGCGCUCAACGCGUCGGCGUCCAGCGGAAACUGUCUGGCUUGGGGCCGGAAGACCCGAGGGGUACGUCCGGGGUAGGAGUGAAAUCCCGUAAUCCUGGACGGACCACCGGUGGCGAAAGCGCCUCAGGAAGACGGACCCGACGGUGAGGGACGAAAGCUAGGGUCUCGAACCGGAUUAGAUACCCGGGUAGUCCUAGCUGUAAACGAUGCUCGCUAGGUGUGGCGCAGGCUACGAGCCUGCGCUGUGCCGUAGGGAAGCCGUGAAGCGAGCCGCCUG